rnacentral:rRNA from 1 species
UAUUACUUCCUUUUUACUCCCUAAUCCAUUAUUACAUUAAACAUUUCACUUAACUUAUUUUAUUUCAUAUUUCAAUAUAAAUGUAACUCAUCCAACCCUAUAAAAUUCUACAUUUUGACUUGAAUUCUUUAUUUAUUAAUAUUUUUCAUUUAUUUAUAAUAAUUAAUAAUAAAUUAAACAGCAAUACAUAAAAUAAUUAUAGAUAAAAUUUACUGUGUUGUAUCACUUUAAUUAAACAAGUUCCUCAGAAUUUAACUAAAUACCGCCAAUACUUUUAAAAUUAAUUAUGAAAAACAAAUAUAAUCUUAGUAAAACUAAUUUAAACCAAAUAAUAGGGUAUCUAA